GAUGAAGAACGCAGCGAAAUGCGAUAAGUAAUGUGAAUUGCAGAAUUCAGUGAAUCAUCGAAUCUUUGAACGCACAUUGCGCCCGCCAGUAUUCUGGCGGGCAUGCCUGUUCGAGCGUCAUUUCAACCAUCAAGCCCCCGGCUUGUGUUGGGGACCUGCGGCUGCCCGCAGGCCCUGAAAACCAGUGGCGGGCUCGCUGUCACGCCGAGCGUAGUAGCAUAUAUCUCGCUCAGGGCGUGCUGCGGGUUCCGGCCGUUAAAAGCCUUUUUUUACCCAAGGUUGACCUCGGAUCAGGUAGGAAGACCCGCUGAACUUAAGCAUAUCAAUAAGCGGAGGA
rnacentral:misc_RNA from 1 species